AUUUUAUAUACCCCAUUGUAAUGUAGAUCAACCAAGUUGGAAUUGUUACAGAGAUCAUUGAGGUGGUGAAGUAGGCAAAGGAAGUACAUUGGGGAGUGGAAACAUAAUUUCUGCCUUCCUGUUCUUGUCCCCAGUAGACAUCCAAAAUCCUGUGAAUCACGUAAUCCAAUGUACUCGAAGCCUACACCAGCCUUCAAAAAGUCGCAAAGUAACCCUUCCUUACCUAUUUCCUUCAUUUCUUUAUUCUAAUUUUUAUCUCAUUGAAAGGAGCUGGUUUGUUUCUUAUAAAACUAUUUGGUGUUCUUGUGGGGUCCAUAUUGAAUUUGCAGGUAUCAUUAACAUUUUAUUUC